AAAAGCAAUAGCGCAGAAAUCUCACUUUUGCAUUGUUGUUAAAUCUAUUUCACAAGUGGAUUUAAGAAUGUGGCCUGCAAACAAGCUUUGAUUAAUUACCUCCACUCAAUGGUUUUUUUUAAAAAAGGACAGAAUAAAAUCCUUGAAAUACAUUGUUAAUGGAUAAGCUUUUUGACCUGUCAGUUGUAAUUUGUAAGAAGCGACAGUUGAAUUAAUGUGCAAUUGUGUGCCAAGCCACAAACAGAAUUUUGAAAUAUUCCUUAAAGGAAUAUACAGUACAACUGAUUUCCUGUCGCAGCAGCUGGUGGUGUCAUCCAAAUAAUGUUAAGCAUAAUAACCAAAAACUGGCUCACGGGCAGAAGGUAAAUUUCAGCAAAGCCCACGAGCUGAUUUUCUACACAGAUGGAAUAAAAUGUGUUGUUAUAAGUGACAGUAGCAGGGCAUGGGGUACAAAUCUGACAUUAAUGGCAGCUGAGACUGCUUUUACCAUUCCCUACGAGGUCACAGAAUUUGACCAAGUAAAUCAUGGCAGACUUAAAGGAUCACUAUAUAUCAGAACGCAGAUAUAGACCUAUAAGGUGUCUAAAUAACCCAAGUCUUGUGGGCAAUGCUGGGUUUAAGUUAUUCUGUUCCCUGUUAUUGAAUUUGGAAUCUGCGUUUUGUUAGUCUGUGCUCUCAUGGAACAAAGCUGUUAUUGUAAUAUAAAGAACUGGUAGUAUUUUACUUGAAAAUACCAGUCAGUCUGAGGAGAAAUAUCAAAGGAUAUAAAACUAAACUAACCAUGGGAGACUGGACUUUAAUACUUUGACUUAUGUCUGCUGGAAUAUCAAGUAAGAAAUGUUUUAAAUUAUUUUUAUCAUUCCCCGUAUGGAAAAGAAUGUGCAUUGUGAAUUGAUACCAUUCUCUAAUAUCACAGUACAUCAAAGGGAAAACUACCGUGUGUGUGUGUACGCGGUCUCUGGAGGAGUCAUUUAGCCGUCACAUUUUUUAAACCCACAUUAUAACAUUAAAAUCGCAUUAGAACAUUAAAAUACAAGCAAGGAUUGAUUUUAUAUAUAAAAAAGAAAUGUAUGUUAUGUAUAUAGUUUAAACUUUAAGUUUUUGGACUGACUCAUGCAUAAACAUGUUUAACUGCAUAAUGUGCAUAGCUACAAACAGGUUUUUGUGUUGGCUCUGCACUUUAUUGUGAUUUUUUUCUAUGCAAAUCCAUGUUUAAAAAAUAAAUAAAUAAAUAAAAGUAAAUUAGUAUCAAAAUUUUAGCACAACAGUAAUAUUUAAAUUUAAGUUUUAUUUUGCCUUGCAAAAUUAUAAACUUGAUUAAUAAGUAUAUCACACACAUUUCAUUGUCAAAAAAAUGUAAACCAUAGAACAUACAAUCAAUACAGAAACAUAAUAUAUAGGCUAAACAACAAUAUAUAAUUAAAAUUCAUGCAAAGCAAAGCUUUGGUUUUCAAACCAAAUUCAAGUUCAGUUUUGCCCCUUUUUUUGGAAUAUAUUUUGCUAAUUACAGAUCAAAAAUGAUUAAAUAAAUAAAAGAUAAUGCUGAAAGUUGGGCCCAAAGGAUUAACACAUUACUCAUAAACGGAAUCUGUUCAAAUAAGUAAUGUGUAACCUUGACGCCUCUGAAAAAAUAAAGGUGCAAAUUGCUUCAACAGUGCCACCUAGGGGUGAGGAGUUACACUUCUCUCUUCAAUUGCAUUCUUGACUUUCUAGUUUGUCAGAUGUAGUCUAAAAGAUAGGUUUCUUUAAUAAAUAUCUUCAAUAAAUAAUUAAACUUUUGGCAACAGUAAAUAAUAUUAUUAUUUAUUCAAGCUGGAUUUAAGAAGAAAAAAAAACACUUCAUGGAGAAAAAAAAUCAUCUUAAGUACUCAUGUAUCAUGCCUCAAAAAUCAACUUUAAAUCAAUUAUUUUCAGCCAUGACACACAUAUGCAAAAUCCCACAUUUUAAGUUCAGAAUCAAUGUUCUACCAGAAAGACUCAGGAGGUGAAGAUAAAACGCAAAAGUAUUUAUUUACAAAACCAAUACAAAGAACAGAAUCAUUUUGCCGUAGACCCCAUCUGUAGCUUUAAUCAGACGUUGUAGAUUCCAGUUAUUCCUGCCGAAGACAAAGGCAGGGCGGAGCAUACCCCCGCAUGUACGGGGCCAUCCUGGUGGUUGUGGGGAGGAUGGAGGGAAACAUCUCAGCAGUAUCUGCAAACACAAUGAAGGAUUCUGGCUGCUCUAUAAUCUGAGAAGACUCUUCAGAUGUGGAUAAACCCUCGAGGGACACUGCCUCACAGAGCAGCAGAGCUGGGAAAUAGAGCAGAAGAAUAUAAGAGUGACAUACAAGAAUCUGGAUCAUUCUGCCUCAAGAUGAACGGGGGCCACGAAAUAGCAGACUGAAGGAUCCAGGGGUCGUUCCCAUGACAACCUUUGCCCAGGGAGUCUGCUGACCCCUUCAGCCUGCCAAUACAAGCAGAGUACAGAUUUUAGGUCACAUAUGGCACAGACGAUCCAAUCAGGACUAAUCUGACUUGACUCAGGGUCAUAAAUUAUACUGCAAAGCUGGCUUUUACCAAGACUUGUCUCACUGGACAGGUCAGGGCCACAUUAAUGUGAGUUUAUGAACACAAUACGCACAAGGAAAUCUAGUAUUGGAGUAAACACUUGUUAGAAUUAUUCUUUUUUGUUUGCCUGUCUUUGAAAUUAUUGUCAUUAAAAUCGUUUUUUUUUUUUCUCCCAUGGGAAAAACGACAAAUCAAUGGCAUUAAUUGUUCCACUAACACCAGAUGAACAAAGCUAAAUGACCAAUAACAUGCUGAAUACUAUAUCUGCUUGUUGCUGUGGUGACAUAAAUAUUUAAACAGAAGGCAGAAUCCACUAAUCAAUCAAUCAAUAAAAUUUUGCCUGCAUUCCAACUGUGGAACUACAAAGGGGGCUGUUAAUCUUUCUUUUGUGCAUAUAAAUUUGCGAGCCUAAGGCUCCAUCAUUGACUGGUACUCAAGCAGACAUAUGCAGCCCUAAAGGGAGUCUUUUGGACUCUAAUUUCUCAGUUUGGCCCAUCUGCAGCCCUCUGGUUCUGACAUGCUUGUAGCCAUGUGCAUUAUUUAUAAUAUUCUUGGGAAGUGAAGACAAACUGCUGACCAAGAGGUUCACGUCUAGAGUAAAAUAAGAUGUUCGGUGUGCAACAAACUGGCACAAAGCAAGAUCACACUGAUUGCUGACAGAUGGGCAGCCAUAUUCUGUGCUUCAUAGCAUUUGCCAGGCUCUCAUUUUUAAUGAUAGAGAUGUUCCGUAUGGCAAAAACUUUGUUUGCCUAAAAGCAUGCAUUAAAAUAACAGUAAAGACAUUUAUAAUGCUACCAAAGACUUAUAUUUUGAAGAACUGCUUUUCUUUUGAACUUUCUAUUCAAGGAAUCCUGAGAGAAAAAAAAAA
ensembl:lncRNA